rnacentral:lncRNA from 1 species
AGAAGUGAAAGUGUGGAACAAUCGAAAACAAGAAAAAAAAUAUGAAUUUCUUUAUGAUUAUAUUACUUUUAUCUUUUUCUACUAUUAAUUUUAUUUCAGUUCAAUCAGUUACUCUUGAAAUAUCAAAAUUUGGAGGAAAACCAAAUAUAGAUAUAGCUAAGGUAUGUCCUUUUAGAUUGAACAGAAAAGACAUGAUAUUGUUUUGAUGAGAAAAAAACACAUUUUAUCGCAUAUCAUAGAUAUUUUUUUACUAUUAUAAUGUAUUUCAAUAAUGUAUUAGUUUUAUAUUGACUAGGCUCUUACAAGUGCNN